rnacentral:rRNA from 18 species
GUCUCCACCCGAGACUCAGUGAAAUUGAAAUCGCUGUGAAGAUGCAGUGUACCCGCACCUAGACGGAAAGACCCCGUGAACCUUUACUACAGCUUGGCACUGAACAUUGACCCUACAUGUGUAGGAUAGGUGGGAGGCUUUGAAGCACAGUCGCUAGAUUGUGUGGAGCCGUCCUUGAAAUACCACCCUUGUAUGUUUGAUGU